GACGUAGGGCGCGAGCGUUGUCCGGAUUUAUUGGGCGUAAAGAGCUCGUAUGCGAAUUGUCGCAUCAUAAAUGAAAACCUGGGGCUCAACUCCAGGCUUGCGGUCGAUACGGGCAGGCUCGAGUUCGGUAGGGGGGACUGGAAUUCCUGGUGUAGCGGUGAAAUGCGCAGAUAUCAGGAGGAACACCGGUGGCGAAGGCGGGUCUCUGGGCCGAUACUGACGCUGAGGAGCGAAAGCGUGGGGAGCGAACAGG
rnacentral:rRNA from 1 species